UACCAGCACCCCGAGUGGUCGGGACGAUUGUUGGGCCUAAAGCAUCCGUAGCCGGUUCUACAAGUCUUCCGUUAAAUCCACCUGCUUAACAGAUGGGCUGCGGAGGAUACUAUAGAGCUAGGAGGCGGGAGAGGCAAGCGGUACUUAGUGGGUAGGGGUAAAAUCCGUUGAUCCAUUGAAGACCACCAGUGGCGAAGGCGGCUUGCCAGAACGCACUCGACGGUGAGGGAUGAAAGCUGGGGGAGCAAACCGG
rnacentral:rRNA from 1 species